rnacentral:rRNA from 1 species
UACGGAGGGUGCAAGCGUUAUCCGGAUUUACUGGGUUUAAAGGGUGCGUAGGCGGCCUUAUAAGUCAGUGGUGAAAUCCUAUCGCUUAACGAUAGACGUGCCAUUGAUACUGUAGGGCUUGAGUACAGAUGCCGUUGGCGGAAUGUGUCAUGUAGCGGUGAAAUGCAUAGAUAUGACACAGAACACCGAUUGCGAAGGCAGCUGACGAAACUGUAACUGACGCUGAGGCACGAAAGCGUGGGGAUCAAACAGG